CCCUCCCAAAGAAGAUUACCUUCUAGAUUAACUGAAACACAGUAAAAAAUGCGGUAAUGAUCAAACGAGGAUGAGAGUUGGCAGUCGACCUUUGUUACCUAUUCUUCACGCUUUCCCAACAUCAUGUCUUUUAGUUAGUUAAAACAUAGUUAGAAGUAAGAACACACUCAUCAAACCUUUAUUUUGCUAACUUAGAGCUUAAAAUGUCCCCUGUAACAAUGCGUGACUGCUAACUCUCGUCAUCCUCGUUUGAUGUGGAUGUUUGGUUAGACCCCUGCACAGAGGUUUAAUAGAUAAUUCUGGUACUUAAUAACUUCUACAUUUUUCCCCUACCAUAGGAGAUGAUUGUUAAUGCGAUUGAAUGUGAAUUGAUGGCGAGAAGAAAGUUCACAAAAACUGACUUCCUGCAUAACCAUCCUGGUGGAUCGCUGGGCAAGAAAUUGACACGCGAACAAGUUGAAAAGGAAUAAGACGUUGUGUGUCAUGGAACUGUCUUUGAAUUGUUUUUCUGUAGAACCAGACAGAUUUCCGUAAAUACUUGUAUAUGAAUAUAAUGGUACAGCAAAGCUAACCUGCGUAGUAGUCGCUUUGUUUUGUAGAAGGUUUUGAGGAUUUUUGAACCCGCCAUUUAUUCAAAACCCUCAAAACCUUCAAUAAAAUAAGCGACUGCUACGCAGGCUACAGCAAAGCCGUUUGUAAGGCUAUAAACGAUCUCUAAAGCAUAUAUAAACUAAAGCAAAAUAAAAUGUUUGGCUUCCUCAAAAUCUUUACUACUGUUCAAAUGUAGCUUUACACAGGGCG